rnacentral:snoRNA from 1 species
GUCCCCUGGUAAAGCUAAACCAGUGCUUGAGGAAGCUGACUCAGAAGGUAAAGUAAGUCUCUGUACAACACAGAUUAUAAAACUCCUCUUUGAUCCUGUCCAGGUGCUAAGCC